rnacentral:rRNA from 1 species
CCUACGGGAGGCAGCAGUGAGGAAUAUUGGUCAAUGGGCGCGAGCCUGAACCAGCCAAGUAGCGUGAAGGAUGACUGCCCUACGGGUUGUAAACUUCUUUUGUAAAGGAAUAAAGUGAGGCACGUGUGCCUUUUUGUGUGUACUUUAUGAAUAAGGAUCGGCUAACUCCGUGCCAGCAGCCGCGGUAAUACGGAGGAUCCGAGCGUUAUCCGGAUUUAUUGGGUUUAAAGGGAGCGUAGGUGGGUUGUUAAGUCAGUUGUGAAAGUUUGGGGCUCAACCGUAAAAUUGCAAUUGAUACUGGCAGCCUUGAGUAGAGUUGAGGUAGGCGGAAUGCGUGGUGUAGCGGUGAAAUGCUUAGAUAUCACGAAGAACUCCGAUUGCGAAGGCAGCUUACGAAAUUGCCACUGACAUUGAUGCUCGAAAGUGUGGGUAUCAAACAGGAUUAGAUACCCCAGUAGUC